UUGUGCCAAGCAGCCGCGGUAAAACCAGCACCUCAAGUGGUCAGGAUGAUUAUUGGGCCUAAAGCAUCCGUAGCCGGCUCUGUAAGUUUUCGGUUAAAUCUGUACGCUCAACGUACAGGCUGCCGGGAAUACUGCAUAGCUAGGGAGUGGGAGAAGUAGACGGUACUCGGUAGGAAGUGGUAAAAUGCUUUGAUCUAUCGAUGACCACCUGUGGCGAAGGCGGUCUACUAGAACACGUCCGACGGUGAGGGAUGAAAGCUGGGGGAGCAAACCGGAUUAGAUACCCGGGUAGUCCCAGCUGUAAACUAUGCAAACUCAGUGAUGCAUUGGCUUGUGGCCAAUGCAGUGCUGCAGGGAAGCCGUUAAGUUUGCCGCCUGGGAAGUACGUACGCAAGUAUGAAACUUAAAGGAAUUGGCGGGGGAGCACCACAAGGGGUGAAGCCUGCGGUUCAAUUGGAGUCAACGCCAGAAAUCUUACCCGGAGAGACAGCAGAAUGAAGGUCAAGCUGAAGACUUUACCAGACAAGCUGAGAGGUGGUGCAUGGCCGUCGCCAGCUCGUGCCGUGAGAUGUCCUGUUAAGUCAGGUAACGAGCGAGAUCCCUGCCUCUAGUUGCCACCAUUACUCUCAGGAGUAGUGGGGCGAAUUAGCGGGACCGCCGCAGUUAAUGCGGAGGAAGGAAGGGGCCACGGCAGGUCUGUGAUGCCC
rnacentral:rRNA from 1 species